rnacentral:misc_RNA from 1 species
AACGCACAUUGCGCUUCCUGGUAUUCCGGGGAGCAUGCUCGUUUCAGAAUCAAUAUGUUCUCACAAACUAUAUGGGUUGCUAAACCCCUAUUGGGCGUGGAUUUGGGCAUUUUUGCUAUGGUGCCUUUGUGCAACAUUGCAAUUGCCUUAAAAUGAUUGCGUGUAUGCCCCAAUUGGUAGUAAUUGGUUUACCCUCAAUGCAACAGUCAAAUGAAACAUUUUGGGGGACCUUUUGUGAACAUUGGACCUCUAGUAUUGAGAUUGUUUCUGAACCUUGGUCUGAAAUCGAGCAAGAAAACCCGCUGAACUUAA